CCAUUCCUGUUGCAGUAUGUGGGAACAGUGGGGAAUUGAAAUUGGGCUUCUAGGCCCUCACUUUUCCUUCAUCUGGAUAACUGUGAACCACUGGGCUAAAUCUAGAGUUAAACCACUGAAGCCAAUUCAAUCCGGGCAGAAUCAGGCCAGGAAGGUUUCAGCUGAAUGGAAAUUUUACAGCAGUUCCCCCCACACCUUUGCUAGGUUAAUGUUUCGGAAGGUGAAUUACACGUGAAGUUGGAGGAAACACAGAGAAUUCCCUGGACCACGCGCGGUGGGAGCAGAUGCUGCUUCAGUUCCUAAGAACAUCUCUGGGGAUGAUAGACGACAGUGCCUGGAGCAGCCAGUUAAGCC